CAAGACAAGACAAGACAAGACAAGACAACAGCAGGCAAUGCAGGAAAAUUCCCUGGGGGAGAUACAGAGAGCUGAUCUUGCGGUAGAGCAGAGACGUUUUUCUCACACCGCCUUCCGAAGACGUCCACAGCAGACGGCGCUCCCUUUUAAACUCUGACUGUGUCACGCGGAGACAGAAGAACGCUCACGUCUUAGAUAAGCAGCUCAGCAAACAUCUCUGCACAUCCACAAUGAGUCAACUCGUCAUACAAGCCUGCUUGUUUUAAAGGUGGUUCGGCCUCUUUAAAGCAAACCGACCGCUCUCACAGCCUGCAGACAACUAGACAACAGAGAACAUUUCAG